rnacentral:rRNA from 1 species
GAUCAGCAUGCCGCGUGUGUGAUGAAGGCCUUCGGGUUGUAAAGCUCUUUUGUCCGGGAAGAAAAUGACGGGGCUAAUACCUGAGGCCCCUGACGGUUCCGGGCGAAUAAGCGCCGGCUUACUACGGGGCCUCAGCCGGGGCAAUAUUAAUGGUGCAAGCGGGAAUCGGAAUUACUGGGCGUAAAGCGUGCGCAAGCCGUUGUCUAAGCCUGAUGUGUGAUCCCCGGGCUGAACCUGUGAAUUGCAUUGGAGACUGGUGGGCUUCAGUGUGUAAAAGGGAGGU